GCUGAGCGCAGCAUAUGCAGUACGGCACUAUGCGCAGCGUGGCUCUGGCACUUGCACAGACAGCCCUGGGUCCUUCAGAGAGGCAGGCUGCUGUCUGUUGGCUGCUCUCAGCCAAGUGGGGACAAUUUGCACUUGGAGUCUUUCUCAGUCUCUGGGGAUACAAAGGCUGGCAUACAGGGAGGAGGAUUAAAUACGGGUGGUCGGGGGAAGGCUGAAUGUUGUUUUCAGGGAUGAGUUUAGUAAGCCCAGGUGAUGGACUGUUUGCUGAGCAAUGGUUCAGUGUUUGUAAGAACUGCAUGGCCACAAUAAGACAUGUAACACAAAGGAGGUCACCACAGAUUUCACAUUGGGGACCUGCAACAAUGAGAACGUUGCUGAUCUCUUUUGUCUCUUUGUAAGUACUACUCAGGUGGAAAAUACACUGCUAUGCAUUGAGUUUCAGUGUCAGUUUAUGGUAUGUCUAAUCAGCCUCCGUGUUACUUCUCUGUUUUUUCCCCCUUCUUGUUCACAAGAAUAUUUUACAUAAUAGUUCCCAGAAAGAUAAAAGCACGAACAGUUCCCUCAUUGUAAAGUGGCUGCGACCAACCUAUUUCUCUAUCUCCUAUUGAUCCGGUGAAUUGUUUGUUGGAGGGAAAGAAGCCACUUGGGAUUCAGUCUUAUUAGUCAGACUGUAUCGUUUUUGAAAGGAGAUGGGGAGGUGGGGGUGAGGUUGUAUGUUCUCUGACUUUCUUCUCCCAUCGCUCUCCCCCUCUCGGGACUCAGAGUCUACAUCUUUGCUGCCGACCGGCCUUUGAUCACAGAUCACACACCCUCAGCAGGGGAGUCGACAAGAGAGAAAGGAGGGAGAGGGGAUUGGAUUGGAGGUGUGGAGGAUGAGACAGUUUCAGUUUGCAGUCACCUAAACCAAUUUAGGAUACAUUCCAUAACUUCAUUCUGUGAUUCCCACUUUGGAGUUUUUGGCAGGUGUAAAGGAUGUGAGUCUGAGACAGCAGGAGGAAACGGUCAACAUUUUGCAGUUGUCUGUUUCGGUUCGUCUGUCUGUCUGUAGCCUCACUAUCUCACAGACAGACCGUUCCAAAAAAAAAAAGAAAAAUUUAAAAAAAAAAAAAAAAAAAAAAAAGCCCCCAGUUUAGCGCUAUCAAACUGCCUUUUUUCAGCUUCUGCGAUUGUAACAAAAAGCACUUUGCGAAAGGCCAUCCUGAAUUUUGUGUGCUUUUAUUUUAUGGUUAUCACUAUUGUUAUUAUUUUGUUGUCCCUGUCGAUGUCUCCUUUUUUGUUGUUUUUUGUUUUCUCAGUGCAGAUGAUUAUUUAAAUGCAAAAAAAUAUAUAUGAUGAAAAUGAAAAAAAAGCAAAAACUUGAAUAUUUGGUAUCUAGACUGAAGAUGGCUUGAGCUGCCACUUCGUCUGGAUGUAAACAAACGCAUCUCUGCUCUACUACCACCAUAGCUGUUAUGCAGCUUAUUGCAUAGUCACACAAUGGUGGUGGGGGGUUACAGGACAGACCUCCCCUCUACCUGCUCUCUGCUCACUGUCUCAGAUAUUGUUGGGAGAAAGGUCACUUGAUCUAAUUUCUGGAGACUCUUUUUCUUGGAAAAAGAAGCCUGUGUAACAGUUGCAAAGCUUUCUGAGAAGGCUAGCUGUGCUGAAUGUUAAACAUGCAGUGUUUAAUCUACUGCAGAAUCUCUUUGUCUGCAAUAACACCCUGUCUGUGUAGGUAAAAGGCCGGAUCUGGUAUCCAUAUAGAGCUGAAAUGAUUAUGAAAGACAAAUGGCCAAAAUGACCAUCAUCAUUUACAUUUGCAAUUCAGUACAGAAAACGUGUUUUGGCCUUAACACCUUUGUCAAAUCCAGAUUACUGCAGUAGAGCGGAAAGAAUAUUGAUCAUAAUAAGCAUUCAGUAAAUCUAUAGUUCAGUAAAUGGUUUAACUUGGGAGAGAAGGAAUAGGCUACUAUUUAUAGAUUGAGUUGUAACUGUGAUAAUUAUAACAGACAUUUCUUUUUGUUUUGUUUUGCUGAUGUACAUUUUAAAGCAGCAGAAUAAGGCCCUGUUCUCAAAUCUGGACGUUUUAAUUUAAUUUAAGUUUACACUGAGUUAUAUAAGGCAGAAAACUGUUGCACCAUGUUUCUGCGUGUGGCAGAACUUUUAAUAAUGUCACUCUGCUGACCACAGUCCACUCUGCGGAUCCCAACGGCAGAAUAACCUGCUCGAUGCUAUCACUAACCGGAUGGACUGUGGCCAAAAUAUGCAACAUAAUUGGAUGUUUUUACCAACAGAGUGCAACAGACAUAUUUUUCUCUGUGUAAUUCAGUGUGGUUUCACUUUAAAAUACCCCUUUCUUUUCACAAAAGUCUUUUUUUCUUUGCAUAGAAGUCCAUAUCUGUUGGAAGCUGCAGGGGAGGGGGGAAUAUAAGUGAUUUUUUUAGUUUUUUUGUUUUCAGAGAAUUUGCACUUUUUGGCGACAAAAAGAAAUUGUAUUGUAUAUGAGACCACUAAAUCCACACAGUCUAAACCGUAUAAUUCCAUUUUGUGUCUUUUUUUUGUUUGUUUUGUUCUGUUCUUCUUUUUUUUAAUAUAUCCAAAAAUGUCUGGCAUCUGGUUGUCUGGUUUAAAGAAUAUAAAUUCUUUCUAUUAAAAAGAAUGGUUGCAAA
ensembl:lncRNA